AUUGAACGCUGGCGGCGUGCUUAACACAUGCAAGUCGAGCGGUAACAGGCGUAGCAAUACGUGCUGACGAGCGGCGAACGGGUGCGUAAUACAUGGGAAUCUGCCCUUUGGUGGGGAAUAACCCGGCGAAAGCCGGGCUAAUGCCGCAUAAGAUCUUCGGAUGAAAGCGGGGGAUCGUAAGACCCCGCGCCGAUGGAUGAGCCCAUGUCGGAUUAGCUAGUUGGUGAGGUAACGGCUAACCAAGGCGACGAACCGUAGCUGGUCUGAGAGGACGGCCAGCCACACUGGGACUGAGACACGGCCCAGACUCCUACGGGAGGCAGCGGUGGGGAAUAUUGGACAAUGGGCGAAAGCCUGAUCCAGCGACGCCGCGUGUGUGAAGAAGGCCUGCGGGUUGUAAAGCACUUUCGAUGGGAACGAAAUGUGUCGGGCUAGUACCCCGGCAAGCUGACGUUACUCAAUGAAGAAGCACCGGCUAACUCUGUGCCAGCCGCCGCCGUAAAAC
rnacentral:rRNA from 1 species